UACAGAGGGUGCGAGCGUUAAUCGGAAUUACUGGGCGUAAAGCGUGCGUAGACGGUUAUUUAAGUCGGGUGUGAAAUCCCCGGGCUUAACCUGGGAACUGCAUUUGUGACUGCAUAGCUAGAGUACGGUAGAGGGGGAUGGAAUUCCGCGUGUAGCAGUGAAAUGCGUAGAUAUGCGGAGGAACACCGAUGGCGAAGGCAAUCCCCUGGACCUGUACUGACGCUCAUGCACGAAAGCGUGGGGAGCAAACAGG
rnacentral:rRNA from 1 species